rnacentral:rRNA from 1 species
GUGGGGAAUCUUAGACAAUGGGGGAAACCCUGAUCUAGCCAUGCCGCGUGAGCGAUGAAGGCCUUAGGGUUGUAAAGCUCUUUCAGCUGGGAAGAUAAUGACGGUACCAGCAGAAGAAGCCCCGGCUAACUCCGUGCCAGCAGCCGCGGUAAUACGGCGGGGGCUAGCGUUGUUCGGAAUUACUGGGCGUAAAGCGCGCGUAGGCGGACCAGAAAGUUGGAGGUGAAAUCCCAGGGCUCAACCUUGGAACUGCCUUCAAAACUCCUGGUCUGGAGUUCGAGAGAGGUGAGUGGAAUUCCGAGUGUAGAGGUGAAAUUCGUAGAUAUUCGGAGGAACACCAGUGGCGAAGGCGGCUCACUGGCUCGAUACUGACGCUGAGGUGCGAAAGCGUGGGGAGCAAACAGGAUUAGAUACCCGUGUAGUCC